rnacentral:rRNA from 1 species
GAUGAACGCUGGCGGCGUGCUUAACACAUGCAAGUCGAACGAAGAAGAGUUGAAUGAGAGCUUCGGCAGGAUUUCUUCUCAUCUUAGUGGCGGACGGGUGAGUAACGUGUGGGCAACCUGCCCUAUACUGGGGAAUAAUCACUGGAAACGGUGACUAAUACCGCAUGUCAUCACCGGAGGGCAUCCUCUGGUGAAAAAAGGNGUAAUUCGGUAUAGGAUGGGCCCGCAUCUGAUUAGCUAGUUGGUGAGAUAACAGCCCACCAAGGCGACGAUCAGUAGCCGACCUGAGAGGGUGAACGGACACAUUGGGACUGAGAUACGGCCCAGACUCCUACGGGAGGCAGCAGCUAGAUAUUCCGCAAUGGGGGAAACCCUGA